UUCUUCUUCCACAAGAAAAUGGCCUGCAGAGAACUUGAAGCCAAUUUUUAUUUAGUCUGUUUUUAACUAUCUUAAUCCAAACAGGCAAAGAUUUUUGUCACUCUGGAGCUGAGGAUGCUUUCAUACUGCCCCAAACAUACUGCUUGUGUGCUUGCAUUUAGAGAGCAAACACUUAAUUCAGAGGAGAUUUAGGUUUGUUUUGAGUACACACAAAUUUAAGAGAGAUGUACUUAAUUAUCCUUUUGUCACUGUUCCUGUUAAUACCUUUAAAGCAAAUAUUAUUAGUUGAUGAGAAGAGGCUGCCAAUCUUCAGCAAAAUGAGCUCUAGAAUGGUGCUGUAUUGAAAAUGUUAGGUUUUGACCUUUAUGUUGUUUUCCAGGCAAACUUGUUUUCUUUAACUGGAAGAGAAUUUAUUUGCUGCACUUCUGGAAACUUCUGAAACCAUUCUUUUCAACUCACUGCAUGCUACAAUAACUUCACCUGAAAGAAAAUCUGAGUGAGGCAGAAGAAUUAAGGCUGCCUCAGACACCCCUGUGAGAUAUUUUAGAGAAAACAAGAUAAUCCAGCUUGGAAACAGAAGGAAAUGCAAAACAUCUGCUGUGAACACCACCUUCUGCUUUGGGGUGGGUCUCCAGCCUUUAGCAAUGCCUCAGUAAGGGAUUCUGCUGGCCCAUGAGAAAUCACCUUGAGCAGAUCACCCAAAUCCUCUGUCUU